GCCGGAGUUAACACAAUAAGUAAUCCACCUGGGGAGUACGGCCGCAAGGCUGAAACUCAAAGGAAUUGACGGGGGCCCGCACAAGCAGUGGAGUAUGUGGUUUAAUUCGAAGCAACGCGAAGAACCUUACCAGGUCUUGACAUCGAGUGACGAACAUAGAGAUAUGUUCUUCCUUCGGGACACGAAGACAGGUGGUGCAUGGUUGUCGUCAGCUCGUGUCGUGAGAUGUUGGGUUAAGUCCCGCAACGAGCGCAACCCUUAUCAUUAGUUGCUACGCAAGAGCACUCUAAUGAGACUGCCGUUGAUAAAACGGAGGAAGGUGGGGAUGACGUCAAAUCAUCAUGCCCCUUAUGACCUGGGCUACACACGUACUACAAUGGUGAUCAAACAGAGGGAAGCAACACAGCGAUGUGAAGCAGAACCCGAAAAAUCAUCUCAGUUCAGAUUGCAGGCUGCAACUCGCCUGCAUGAAGUCGGAAUUGCUAGUAAUCGCGGAUCAGCAUGCCGCGGUGAAUACGUUCCCGGGCCUUGUACACACCGCCCGUC
rnacentral:rRNA from 1 species